CUACAAAAGAACGUGUGGCAGCUGCCUACAGGACGGCAAAUAGGAAGCCACGAUGUCUAGUCCCUGCCCAGGAGCACGCAGCCACCCGGCAUGAAAGACAGUCAUUCAGGAAGGUCUCUGCUGCCUUCCAAACUGCCCGGGCUUUGGGGAGAUGCCCUCUCCUCCAUGAGCGUCUAACCCACGGGGCAACACAGGGCUUGCCUGUGAGCAGAGAUGGGAGGACAGACAGCGAGGGCCUCUGUUCCAAAACAAACAGCAUGCUGAGGCGACACCGACCAUGCCCUUCUUUAUCUUGGCAAUCUCAUGCCCACGCCUAAAUAUAGACGCUUGGGCAGCACAGGCAUCUGCCUGCUGCCACAGAAUCGGCACGGUCCAGCUUACAGCAGAAGGGCACAGUGUUAAGGCUCCAGAAGCUUUUCACUAUGUGUUGCUGGAAUCUCAAGUUCCUUUCUCGUUCAGAUUGAACAAACGUCCUCGGCUGCAGGAUGGGGUUUUUUUCUCCGGUCCCAAAGUACCCUGAGAAGAAAGAAAAUCAAAGCUCGUUUCGGGAACAACAUCGGACCCAAGCAGAAGAAAAACGGAAAGCAAGCUAAUGAGGUAGCAAUUCCAGUUCAAGGACUCCAGGGUGAAGAGCCCUGCGUUCUGCUCUGCCCAGAGCCACCCGCCCCAGGCUGCCCGUCUCGGACCCUCCCUCCAGUCUUUCCCUCUCAGGCUGGGGCCUGCUCUGCCCCCAGCCCCUCUCAGGAAGGCUUCCAGGUCCAUUCUCACCUCAUGGGAGACGUUCUCAUGAACUUUGGGGAAAGAGCCUGUGUUCCUAACCCCCACUCUCUCUCUGUCCCUCCGACUCAGCUCUCCGCCUUCCUCCUCUCUGACGCCUCCCAGCACUCUGCGCUUCUGGCUUGUUCACUGCAGAGGAAGCGCUCCUUCAGAUCAGUGUCUGCAGCAUCUCACACAGUCAGUGCUCAGCACUGUAAAUAAAUGCUCAAUAAAUCAUGCUCAAGACAUGCUUGUCGAAUGAGAGGAUGAAAGGACAAGCCCCCUCUUAGCAGUGAAUCACAGUGUAAAUUCUCUUGUAGAAUAAUUCCGAAUCUCAAGUACCCUGAGGGCAGGACCCUCCAUCCUGUGGUGCCCCCAGGCCCUCAGUGUCCAGCACGGGAGGCUUAGUGACAAAUGGUCUGUCUGUUGGCAUAAAAUGCCAUCGUUUCGGUUCUCUAAGUCUUAACAAGUGGUCAGUUUCUAAGUGAUGAUUCUGGGGAAGAUCAAAUAAUUAAAUUUGAUGAUUAACUUAAUUACACCUGAUACCAGCCAAGUGUUUAGAACUGCUUGGCACACAACAGGCUCUCCAUAAAUGUUAGCUGCUGCUGCUGCUGCUGCUGCUGUUAUUAAGCCAUUUUUAGCUAUUUAAGAAACUUCGAAAUGCUCUGCUGUCAAGGUGGAGCUUAGGGGGAGCCAACACACAGAUCUGUGGACCAUUUGGUUGUCCCUUUGGCUUAAGGACAUUUACAAGUGUGUGAGUGCUCUUGGUGCCAUCCAUCCAGCAAAGAACGGGUGCAAGGAAGUGGGGUGUGCCUGUGAAGAAGGUGCUUGGCCUCUCAGGCGGGUCUGCAUCCCACCCCAUUCUCACACAGUCUGGGAGGUAAAUGCUAAGCAUGAGGUGAGAGUGAGGUAUCCUCCUGUUUUUAGGUCCCCCCACCUCUCAGGCUAACAGGACAGGAGUCUAAAUCCCUGUGCUCACACUCUUCCUUGCCGCCCCCACCACCCUCCCCGACAUCUGCAUGUGCUGUGUACCUCGCACAGCACCACCCUCCCCUCGAGUGCCAGGCUGGGUCAGGACAACCAUGUUAGUCUCUCAGUUAUUUAACUGUUAGCUGAGAGCACUGGGGAGAUGACACCUGCCUGCCUCACUGCACAGUCCUGUGCUAAGGGGACCCUUGCUGGCAACGUGGGAGAGAAGGCAGUCCUCAUUUUAAAGAGUAAAACAAAGGGUUAGUAUUUGUUAUUAAGAAGAAUGGGAGAGACAAAGGUCAUGGCUAAAUGGGGGUCACUGACAGAGAUGGAGGUUGAGAGGGUAGUGGUGACUUCAGAGGAGGGGGCACAGUUCACGACAAGGUCCAAGUUGGGUGCCAGUUGGAAAGAAUUUGGAUGUUUCUUGCAUUUCUGCUUUCAACUAAAGCAAAUCAUUCCUUCAUAAUUCAGCACCCUAGUUUCUCCGAAAAACUGAUGAAAGGAGGUCUGGAAGUGACUUCUGGGCCAAAAUGCAGCUCAGAUCACUAUGGCUCUUUAAAGAGGUUUACCUUAAAGCGUUCACCACGUGGACUGGCACCACGUUCAAUAGAAGGAAGUGUGCAGAUGCACACCCUGUACUUUUUCGGCUGGGAACACGCCGCUGCUUGCAAGGCUUCGCUCUCCCUGUGAGCUGCUCUGACAAAUGCAUUAAUUGUACAAAGCAGACAGAGUUUGUUUAGUCAUGUCUGCUGAGGUGGGGAGGAUGUUGCCACACAUCUGAGCUGGCUCUUUCUGCACAGGGCAUCUAGGCCUCAGGCCUCUACGCCAACACCCUCUGGCCAGAGUGAGAGGCAUCGCCACAAAAGCCAAUGGUGCACCUGCUCCACCGCUUUCAAAUUAAAAAGAAGUCAGCAUGAGAGAGUGAGAGAGAGAGAGAGAGGGAGAGAGAGAGAUUGUUUAUGGGCUCUUUCUCUCUCAUCAGGAGAGGGCAGUGAGGCUCAGUCAUCGUGAGGGUAAGAACAGGAGAGCAGGUGCCUGAAGCUGACUGAAUGUCACAGAGCCAUCUCGGCCUCAGCACCCCAGGGUGGAAAUAUAAACUCCUCAGCCACCGAAUAUGACCCUCGGGCUCUUCAAUCCCAGCCUUCCUUCUACCUUCUUCACGUGCCCUCUUGUCCAACUAUCCUGGCUAGUUCCCACUGUCACCUGGAUGUACUGCUCCCAGUUUUCAACCAUGCUUUCAAUGCAGCGUUUCUCUUACCUGAAAUGUCCCCCAGGCACCCUUUGCGAUUCCUACUUGUUUUGCAGAAAGCCUUCCCCCACCUCUCUCGUCCCCACUGACAUUCUGACUAGUUACGUAGUUAUGAGACCAGCAACAUUUAAUUUAUGACUUCUGCAUGUCCCUGAAUUGUGAUUACAUUCUUGUAAUGUUGUUUUUAACCUUCUACAUGCACUUCGAUUGUGUUGACUGGACUGGACAUUAGGCUGUGAUGUCAGAGACAAGCCUUUUUUACUGGAGUCUCUCAGAGUCUCUGGUGGCAGCUGGCACAAAAGAGGGACACGGCUGCCUGACUUACUAGAUAGGCUGACUGUAAGCUCUCAAAGGCAGGACAGGUGACUUCAGUAUUUGUAAGGUAUGUGCCAUUAGAACUUGGAUAUACCUGGACUCAUAAGCACUGUCUGCUACUUGCUGAUUUAAUAACAACAGCUCAGUAAAUAUUUGUUGAAUGAAGUCAACAUUCUUGUGAGCUGAAAACAAGAUUCAGUACAGGAAACCUUGCCUUAUGAAAAGAUUACCUUCAAACUAGAAAAGUAAGCAGAACCUCACUUCAUUACUGUGUUCGUUUUCCACCUACGCAUAUUCCCAAAGUCCCCCAAAUGAGAAGGCAACAGAAAGCCCAAAACUGAAGUAGAAAUGACUGCAUGGGCGAUCUUUGGGCAGCAGACAAAGUAAGGGAGAUUUAAUGAUUCAAGCCAACAGGCAGGGAAAUAGGAUUCAUCCCAAAUCAGUUCACUGUUGCAUUUCCGCAUAGAUAAGUGAUAAAUCUUAAAGCAGGAAGGUACUGCACUGUUUCCAAUGCAAAGACCUUUGUAGGAUAGACGUUUCUCAAGCUUUAAUAUGUUUGCUUCCUGAUUAAACUAUGGGGUUGUAUACUGGAACAAUCAUGCUUAUGAACACAAAUUGCGGUGUUCCUUCCCAUGCAAUCUUGACACACACUGAUAAGUGUUGUAAGGCAUUUGUACAACAAAAAAUAGUUCAGUACCACUGAUACCCCAGGAAUGGAAAUUCUUAACUAUGAGAAAUAGUUAUUCUGGGACAGGUGGAAGGAAAUGGCACCAUCUCAGGAAUGCAAAGAUGGUUUGACAUAAAAAAUCUAGUCAUUUAAUAUACCACACUUCUAGUUUUUAUAAGAGACAAAAGUUAAACAUCUCAACAGAUGUAGGAAAUAUUUCUAACAUUCACUCAAAAUUUUAAUAAAACAACAAAUCUGUAACCAAAGGGAGCUUCCUUAACCUAAUAAAAGCUAGAGCAAAUAUCACAGACUUUAGAAGCAUUCUCAGUAACAUCAGGAAUAAUUCAAGAAAUCUGCUAUUAGUGCUUUGAUCCAACAUUAUUUUUUGCAGCCUUAGCCAAUGGGGAAAAGAAAGAAAUGAAGUAUACCAAUUGGAAAAGAGAAGCCCAAACUAUUGUUAUUUGCAAAGAUAUGAUAGUGUACAUGGAAAACCUGAAAAAAUUUUCAGACAAACUAUUAAAAUUAAUAAGAUAGGUCAACAAUGUUUUUGGAUGUAUAAUCAACAUAUAAAAAUCAAUAGCUUUGCUGUAUACCAAUAAUAACAACAUUUGAAAAAAUGUAAUAGAAUCAGGGACGUUAUUGACAAUUCUAUUGUUUAUAAGUUAGCAACUUAAAAACAGUAAAAAUGCUAUAAUAACAAGGGUUUCUUGAGUAAAGGUUAUGGUCCAAGGUUACAAAAUCUCAUACCCUGCUUGUGAAUUUGGGGAAAAUAGCAGCAGCAAUUCCAUUUAUAUCAGCUUUGCAUUUUUAUCAGUUUACUGAGUGUGAUAUCGUGAUAUAACAAGAAUAUACUGAGUGAAUGAAGAGUGACUGCUAAUAGGUAUGAGCUUUCUUUUUGCAGUAAUAAAAAUGUCCUAAAAUUGAUUGUGGUGAUGGUUGCACAACUGUAAAAAUACUAAAAAACCACUGAACCGUAUACCUUACGAGGGUAAAAUGUAUGGUAUGUGAAUUAUAUCUCAAUAAAGCUGUCAUUAAAAAAACAACAAAAAGAACCAAAACAGAAUUUUUCUAGCAAACACAUCUUAGAAUUGACUGUAAAAUGUCACCUGCUUAAUAAACUAUUCCU